GAUGAACGCUGGCGGCGUGCCUAAUACAUGCAAGUCGAGCGAACGGACGAGAAGCUUGCUUCUCUGAUGUUAGCGGCGGACGGGUGAGUAACACGUGGAUAACCUACCUAUAAGACUGGGAUAACUUCGGGAAACCGUAGCUAAUACCGGAUAAUAUUUUGAACCGCAUGGUCCAAAAGUGAAAGACGGUCUUGCUGUCACUUAUAGAUGGAUCCGCGCUGCAUUAGCUAGUUGGUAAGGUAACGGCUUACCAAGGCAACGAUGCAUAGCCGACCUGAGAGGGUGAUCGGCCACACUGGAACUGAGACACGGUCCAGACUCCUACGGGAGGCAGCAGUAGGGAAUCUUCCGCAAUGGGCGAAAGCCUGACGGAGCAACGCCGCGUGAGUGGUGAAGGUCUUCGGAUCGUAAAACUCUGUUAUUAGGGAAGAACAAAUGUGUAAGUAACUAUGCACGUCUUGACGGUACCUAAUCAGAAAGCCACGGCUAACUACGUG
rnacentral:rRNA from 1 species